AAAAACACACACACACAAAGAUACUUCAAUCCACUCCUUUAUUCUUGCUAGGAGUCUCGCUGCUCUGCCUCACGCGGUCACCGGAGUCUGGUCGACGGCAAGACUCUGGGUUGUUCGACGCUGACUAGCGCGGCCCGGUGGGCGCUGUGCUCUUCAACCCGGUGAAGCCCGGCGGCCACGUCGCACAGAUGAUCGUCCAGGUGAUCGUGACGCCGAAGGUCGCCGAGGUGGAGGACCUCGACGCCACCGUCCGGGGGAAGGGAGGAUUUGGGUCCACCGACGUCUGAACUCCGAGCCUUGGUAGAUACAUCUACGGAAGUGGUUUGUUUGGGUUGGUGGUGAACACUAGGGAAGUUACCCAUGUUUCGAUAAUGGUUGUGUGUGUCUGAUGUUACAUGGAUUCUUGCGAUCUCUUCCAGUUGAGAUGGUUCUGUGACCUUAGUUUAUCUUGCACUGGAUGUGUCUCUGAUUUCCAUUCAUGAA